GGUUUCGUAGCUCAGCUGGUAGGGCGUGCGCACACCAAGUGUGGGCGGCGUCCAUGCGUGGGUUCGAAUCCCACCAAGGCUA
rnacentral:tRNA from 1 species